GAUGAACGCUGGCGGCGUGCUUAACACAUGCAAGUCGAACGGAAAGACCCUGCUGUUGUGGGUUUCUCGAGUGGCGAACGGGUGAGUAACACGCGCGUAACCUGCCCUUGACUUUGGGAUAACUUCAGGAAACUGAGGCUAAUACCGGAUAGGAGCUCCUGCUCCACGCAGGGGGCUGGAAAGUUUGGGCGGUUGGGGAUGGACUCGCGGCUGAUCCGCUUGUUGGUGGGGUAGUGGCUUGCUAAGGCUUCGACGGGUAGCCGACCUGUGGGGGUGGCCAGCGACCUUAGGACUAAGGUACGGCGCAGACUGCAACGUGACGCAGCAGUGGAGAAUAUUACGCAGUGAGCGGAAGCGUGAUGAAGCGGCGCUGGGUUCGGGAAGACGGGUUGCGGGUGGUGAACCGGUUUCGCAUGUAACGAACCGUGAGUGACGGUAAUGGAUCAAGAAGCACCGGCUAACUACGUG
rnacentral:rRNA from 1 species